rnacentral:rRNA from 1 species
UACGGGGGGGGCAAGCGUUGUUCGGAAUUACUGGGCGUAAAGGGCUCGUAGGCGGCCAACUAAGUCAGGGGUGAAAUCCUGCAGCUUAACUGCAGAAGUGCCUUUGAUACUGUCGGUCUUGAGGGAGAUAGGGGUGUGCGGAACUCACAGUGGAGCGGUGAAAUGCGUUGAUAUUGUGAGGAACGCCGGAGGCGAAAGCGGCGCACUGGAUCUCUUCUGACGCUGAGGCGCGAAAGCUAGGGGAGCAAACGGG